UACGAAGGGGGCUAGCGUUGUUCGGAGUUACUGGGCGUAAAGGGCGUGUAGGCGGUCCGCUAAGUCUGAUGUGAAAGCCCGGGGCUCACCCCCGGAAGGGCAUUGGAAACUGGCGGACUCGAGUCCCGGAGAGGAGGGUGGAAUUCCUGGUGUAGCGGUGAAAUGCGUAGAUAUCAGGAGGAACACCGGUGGCGAAGGCGGCCCUCUGGACGGUGACUGACGCUAAGACGCGAAAGCGUGGGGAGCAAACAGG
rnacentral:rRNA from 1 species